GGUAAUUUUUUCAACAUGGCGAUUACCCAUGGAAUGAGUACUUUAGUCGGAACCUACUUUUGGGUAAUUGAAAAACAAUGUUUAUAAUCCAGUUGUCAACACGUCUUCUUUUCUAAACUACUCGAUGAAACACUGCAGAAUAAUCAAAGCAUUUUCAUUCGCCGUUAACGAUUCGGUGCGGAUGAAUAUUCGAGCAAUAUCCCCAAGUCCAAGCAGGAGAAAAGCGACAAUUACAUGUAAAGGAUCUAGCGAGAAUCCAGUACCAUUAUAGAUUUCCAAUGGCGGAUACUAGUUCUUUGGGUCGGUUUGGAACUCCUCCUACGUUUCGACGAAAAAUAUAGGCUUCCGUAGAGUUUUUCUUAACAUUUCGAGAGCGGAAAACUUGCUCUACCGCAACCUGCAUCCAUUUGAGUGGUCAGGAGUUUUGUUCUUUUUUGUACGUGUUCCCCGCAGCAAUAAUAAUAACCAGCGAGCGUAUUAGCCUAAAAUACGCUCUUCCAGCCGACGGAUUUUUGCUGUACACGUUGUGGACUAUGUAACAAACGAUUGCCGUAUGGUGUAUGGACACAUAAGGGGAGGCUUGGGUAGCUUUCCUAUACCAUAAAGUACAUUACUAGACAUCUAACUGUAAGGAAUAAUAAGUUACACUCAAUCAGUCGGAGACGGUGGCAAUUAGUUUAUUGAAAUCAGCAUACUAUGGUUUUGCGAAACGGAUUUCUAUGAUUGUAGAUGAGAAUCUAGAUGCAGCGACAGUGAGCAAAUUCUAAACGUGAACGCUAUGCAUGAAAUUUUGGAAUAGAUGUGCUUACCUCACGAAUAUGGACCGCCGUAAGGGGUUUCGGUAUUCAUUCGAGGCCACACAUUCGCUACUCUUGUAUCUUCAGUAGUACAAGUAGUACGUUGAGAGAACUACAGGUUUGCGGUUUGGAGUGCGGUGUAGAGGUGACGAUUGCUAACCCAGGGUGGCUGAUUCCUCGAACAGUGAUUUAUCAAAUUGCGUCGGUGCUUGUGGCCAUGAAGUGGAUCUGAUAUACGGAUUUACUGAAUCGGCAGAUGUUAAUAUAGUUGGCGUUAAAUGUAAUAGAUCUUCUGAACCUUCUAAGACACAAAUAUGGCGUGAUUCUGAUUCUUGGCGAUGAAUCUCAGUUGGAGUGAGACUUCUGACAUGACAUGACUUAGUUGGUUACGAAAGACAUCACAGUAAGAAAAUUACUUGUCUAGGAUGUGAGAAACGUGUUCAAUUUCGAUUGAUUCUUCGGAGGAUUAUAUUAACGAAGUCGGAAGCAUCGGACGGUGUAUUUCAUUUGGAAAUGGACGUCAGGUUCGAGAAUUGCUUUCGAUGUUUAAAUAAAUCGAGAACGGAAUUUAUCAUGACUAAGCGGACAUGCACAUCAUAGAUGAGACCGCCAAUCCAAACGUUUUGAACACAACAGGAGAAGACAAAAUGUAUUGUUCAGUGUCAACAGCAGCAUGAACGAAGAGCAAGUAAAGGCAAAGGUUUUACAAUCAGUGCAAUACAGUCUCGCUAGGUAGACAUAUUUGGCUUGUUCUCUAUAAUACCAAAUAAUCUGCACUGUGUUAUCCAGAAACAUCAUCAGUCCUACGACAAAAGUGGUAGUCAAUGGUAUUCCAAGUCCCAGUUUCCCCCAAUUUCAAAAGAUUAGCCCUAAAUUGUUCGAGGCAACAAAAUUUGCUAAUUGCACAAUAUAGUAAAAAUCCAAAGGAGAUAUUGGAACAAGUGACUAUCAAGUACGAACCGCCCCAAUGUGAUUCUGAUAACGCUUUGGAACAGGUGAUCCCAUCGAAAGAUUGUUGUAACGUUAGUACACCGAUAUAUGAAGCUGAGCCCUUGCCUUCUUUAGAAGGGCUUUCAUUUGAUGAAAUGAUUGAUGUGCUAGACAAAAUCCCUCCUCGGAGCGAAAGAGUAAACGCCAUUCCUCACGAAGAAUGUUGGGACUGUGGUCAACAAUUUCCAAAUCGAAGCCGCAAGAAAGAACAUCGUAAAACCUGCUCUGCCAUUGGUACAACCGAAUUUCUGCGAAACAAAAACUAUAAGUGCGAAAUCUGCAAGAAGAUGAUCAAAACUCGUGCCGGUUAUCGGGUGCAUCUACUUAAAAUUCACAGAGACCAGAACACUGAUAAUUACCUGAAUGAGCACUGGGUACAAUUCGACGACAUUCAAACGAUUAGUACUUACAACUUCAAGAAGAGGACGAAUUACUGAUAGCAGCAAAGUGUACAACAAACCCAGGAUAAAAUCGAUUGCUUUGCAGAUUUGCUAUAUUCUACAGAAUAUGUGCAUAGCCACCUCCACUACAACCACCAAUGAUUUAUAGCAUAACGCAAAAACUUUUUUGGUCACUGUUCAAGCUGUAGAACGAAAAACAUGGGAACGAACCAUUUGUCACAGAUAGCUAACGGUUUGAAAAAUUCACACCAGACGCAGGUAUUAAGUCCGUACCCACUCGAAAAAAUAGUUUACCUUUCACCGAUUCAGUAAAUUUACACCGACUAGGUCAAUCACAACGAUCUCAAGCAUAGGUACCUGUAAAAUUCUACCUUCUCAGCUAAUGUGUUUUCAAUCACGAGGAAUGUGGGUCCGUGCAAAAUGAUGCUUGAGUUGAAGCGCAACUGUCGACUAUAUCAAUGCAUUUCUGGAAUCCUCUGGUCGACAGCAUGAAGAUUUUCCAUCCAAGGGCUAAGAUUGAAACAAUUCUGAUGCCUGUGGAAAGCUGCUGAACUUUACAUUUUCAACAGGUACAGCUACUGAAUAUGCAUUUUAUGUUAAAAUUAAAUUUUAGUGCUUUCUAUCGAUCAAUAAAAUUUUUAAAUUGAAGUUCUCUAAUAGAAUGAACAUAACGAAUAGAGUACUAAAUAGUUGAGUGUCAUUUUUUAUCUUAUGCAACUUAUAUUUGUUAAAGGUUUGUACCAAAAAAACUUUACUUUAUUCACUCUUCUAAUUGCGUAUGCUACCAAUGAACUAAGAACAGAAAGAACACGAACAAAAAAUACUUGUCAACACGGAAUUCCGUUGUCCACCGAUGCACUCUGAGACAUUGAUUGAGGAAUAGCGGUAAUCCCGUAACUACCUUGGAGAAAGCUUCAGUAAGCAGUAAACAUACGAUCAGUCCUUGUAGGGUAGCAUUAAUAUAAUAUUAAGUUUAAUAAACCAGAGUUAUCCCAA